AAGUCGUAACAAGGUUUCCGUAGGUGAACCUGCGGAAGGAUCAUUAACACGUAUCCAAACGUAAAAAAACCCCCCGUGAACAUUCAAUCCUGCUCUUGUAACCCGCGUAGUUUGCAAUCUCUGGUAAAUCAUAGCCCGGAAAGUAGUUUUGAUUCAGAGACCUCUGGCUACGUGAGAACAUUGGAACAGUUACAAUCGAGCGGUAGUUUUCCCCAAGCAGUUAGUGUCUGAAAGUGUCACUGAUUGUGCAAGGAUAGCGCUUCAACGAUUCCUGUAGACCGUACACUCGGCAGGAGCUAUGCCAAAGGGUCCCCAUGCCCCCUUAUAACCCCACAGUUUAAUGUGAAGCUCAAUGUAAUACAUUGGGUAAAAAAACCGAACAACUGUUAACAAUGGAUAUCUUGGUUCUC
rnacentral:misc_RNA from 1 species